UACGUAGGGUGCGAGCGUUGUCCGGAAUUAUUGGGCGUAAAGAGCUUGUAGGCGGUUUGUCGCGUCUGCUGUGAAAAUCCGGGGCUCAACCCCGGACUUGCAGUGGGUACGGGCAGACUAGAGUGUGGUAGGGGAGACUGGAAUUCCUGGUGUAGCGGUGGAAUGCGCAGAUAUCAGGAGGAACACCGGUGGCGAAGGCGGGUCUCUGGGCCGAUACUGACGCUGAGGAGCGAAAGCAUGGGUAGCGAACAGG
rnacentral:rRNA from 1 species